rnacentral:lncRNA from 1 species
CCGCGCCUGCGCACUGAGAGGAGGUGCAGUGCUGCUCGGCGGCGCCGGCGCCGGUCCGUGCGACCAUGGGGCGGCGGGCGGCGGGGACGCCGAGGGCCAGGUAGCGGCGGGGCGGCGGGGCCCGCGGGCUCGGCCCGGCAUGUAGACGCCCCGCGGGUGCGCGGCAGCGGACGGUGAGUGCGCAGGAGCCCCGCCGAGGCCGCGC